CGUCGACACCAUGCCCGCUACCAAGUGGUUACUGCUCCUCUUCUCAGUAGCCCUGUUGGGCCUGAGCUCCGCUCAAUUCACUGAUGAGGAGGAUGAACAAAAUUCAGAGGAUCCAUUAGAUGUACCAGCACCGAACGACUCCCAGGACGAUGAUCAGAACCCCGGCCAGCAACAAGGUGGUAACCAAAAACCUGGGCCUCCAGGUGGACAACAAGGAGGUCCUCCAGAGGGUCCGCAAGAAGGUCAGCAAGGUGGUCCACAAGGAGGCCCUCAAGAUGGUCAGCAGGGAGGCCGUCCAGGUGGUCCACAAGGAGGCCCUCAAGGUGGCCAGCAGGGAGGCCCUCAAAGUGGCCAGCAGGGAGGCCCUCAAGGUGGUCCACAGGGAGGCCCUCAAGGUGGCCAGCAGGGAGGCCCUCCAGGUGGCCAGCAAGGAGGCCGUCCAGGUGGUCCACAAGGAGGCCCUCAAGGUGGCCAGUAAGGAGGUCAUCCACUCUCCUCACCCCCAAGUGCAUAAGAAGGAAGAUGGACAUUCAGGAGGCACCCUCGAAGUCCUCAUGUGGACCUGGAUAUUCGAUAUACUUCUUGAUCUACU
rnacentral:lncRNA from 1 species